UCUCCCUCUCACUCCCCUUCACCUCUCUCCCUCCCUCUCACUCCCCUUCACCUCACUCUCUCCCUCUCUCUCACUCCCCUUCACCUCACUCUCUCUUUCUCAUUGUUCAACCAAACUGAACUGAGUGUUUAUGUACUUCAUAAACCCCCAACGACUUCCUGAGAACAUCCACUGACUUUCACACUGUGGUUUAUAGCUCCUUUGUUGAGCGCACACUCUUUGGGGUUGAUGUCUCAUCUGUUAAACGCACACACUUUGUUGAGAUAUCUAGGGUCUCCGAUAUAUAACUACUUCUUACAGCUCAUUUUGUCCCAUUUGGUCGUUUUAUAUAGUAACACCAUUGUUGAUUGUAUGUCAUGUCAAUGAGAGAGGAAGAAGUGAAGUUAUAUAUGGUCUUUAAAGCAUUGUGAAGGGAGGUUAGUGGCUAUUGCAGAGAAUAUCUAAAAGGAGGAAGCUACAUGUGAAGACUAUUACUGUAGCCUUUCACAAUCAGCCAAUCAGCCCUCCCCCUGUCCAAGUGGCGUUAACAACCAGACACAGAGAGGAAGCUACGGAGCAGAUGAAGAUGAAUCCAUGGACCCUCUCUGUGCUCCUGCUGCUUGCUGGUCAGCCCCUGGACCGGAACAUGAGAUCGUCUACAGCGAGGUCGUUGGCUGAACCAAACUCAAGCAUCGACUCCUCUUCCUCCUCCAGUGAUGACGAGAUAAGGGAACACUGACUUCAUCAUGUCUGUUGUCUCUCACAGACUUAGUCGUUAAGUCUUGUUCUUUUUAGUUUGUAUUUCUGAUUCUAACAUUUCUGAUGAUUUCAGUGUUUUAUGCAUUUGAGUUUUCUCUCUUUAGCGUAUGUUGUUAUCCGAAUAUACUCGAGGUUGUCAGAAUAACGGUGAGGUUUGUAAAGACUAGUUCUUCUCCAUUCUGCUCCUGAUGACUAGGUUACGUUUCAAAAAAGAUACUUCAUAUCUAGUUUCCUGAUGGAAUGGCCGCUCAGUCUUUUAUGAGCCUGUACUUCUGUUAGCUUACAGUAUUAAUGCAAUCAUAUAUUUACAGUCUGUGGGUCAUGUAGGCUUACAAAAAAAGAUCUGUCAUGUUCUCAUCUUCAGAGGUUGCUGUGUUAAAGUGAAGCCAUUUUAAAUACUGAUAAAGUUAAUGGGGGGCAGAUAAUCAUCCUCCCCACUGUGGAGCUAAUAUAAGAAGGGGGAAGUAGAAUUCACUGAAAGUCAGCAGGAACUUUGUCUGCUGCCAUGUGUGUCGAAGUCAUUUCUGCUCCGAAUACUAUUAUUAAGAUAUCAGAAGUCAGAUAGAAUUGAAUUAAAGUCUUUUUGUGAAGCAUCUGUGUAAAAAUACAGGUAUUAUAGGUAUGCAUAACCCAAUUUAGACAUGGAACAAGCUCUUUGGGAACAGUAUUAGACCGUUCAAGUAGGCUAUUAAACAAUAAAAGUUUAAUUAUUACCUUAUUCUGAGCAUACAGUGUAUUUUCAUUUUGAUACAGCUGGCCUAAUGAUUUCUCAAUGCAAAUCGGUAUAGUGAAGGGUAUUUGAUGAUGUUGGACUAUUUUAAUUCCAAAGGCUAAGGGAACCUAAUCAGGAUAAAUAUCCUGGAUCCAUGAAAUAAUUGGCUUUUAAAAAAAACACUAUUUUAAGGGAUAACAUUUAUUUAUUUACAAUACAUUAUUCAUUCAAAAAGCAAAUUGGUGUCCUUAAAGGUUGGAUUUUUCAUCAAUGGUUUAAUUAAGGCAUUAAGAUCAAUUUCCGAAAGAUGAUUUUUUAUUCCUCUUUUAUAACUUUAGCAUUGCAUGCCUAAAGUUAUGCCUACAACUAUAUAUAGAUAUAGAUAUAGAUAUAUAUAGAUAUAUAUAUAGAUAUAUGUGUGUGUGUGUGUGUGUGUGUGUGUGUGUGUGUGUGUACACAUAUGAUACACACAUAUAUACAUAUUGUUUUUACUAUGCACUUAUUUAAUGUAUUUCAUGAUGUAAAUCAAUAAACUCAGAACAUGUCA